UAAUUGAAGAGUUUGAUCAUGGCUCAGAUUGAACGCUGGCGGCAGGCCUAACACAUGCAAGUCGGGCGGUAACAGGGGGAAGCUUGCUUCUCUGCUGACGAGCGGCGGACGGGUGAGUAAUGUAUGGGGAUCUGCCUGAUGGCGGGGGAUAACUACUGGAAACGGUAGCUAAUACCGCAUAAUGUCUUCGGACCAAAGCGGGGGACCUCCGGGCCUCGCGCCAUCAGAUGAACCCAUAUGGGAUUA
rnacentral:rRNA from 1 species